rnacentral:rRNA from 1 species
AGCAGCCGCGGUAAUUCCAGCUCCAAUAGCGUAUAUUAAAGUUGUUGCAGUUAAAAAGCUCGUAGUUGAAUUUCGGGGUUAGUAGGUUGGUCGUGCCACUGGUAUGCACUGGCCUCACUGAUUCCUCCUUCUUGAAGAACUGUAAUGCCAUUAAUUUGGUGUUGCAGGGAAACAGGACUGUUACUUUGAAAAAUUAGAGUGUUUAAAGCAGGCUAACGCUUGAAUACAUUAGCAUGGAAUAAUGAAAUAGGACGUUUGAUCCUAUUUUGUUGGUUUCUAGGAUUGACGUAAUGAUUAAUAGGGAUAGUUGGGGGCAUUAGUAUUCAAUUGUCAGAGGUGAAAUUCUUGGAUUUAUUGAAGACUAACUACUGCGAAAGCAUUUGCCAAGGAUGUUUCAUUAAUCAAGAACGAAAGUUAGGGAUCGAAGACGAUCAG